UUUAGAUCAUACCAGGUUGGACAUUUUAUUAACAAAACACAAAAUAAAACAAACAAAACAUAAAUGCCCAGAACAACCAAAACGACACGAAACUAUGAAAAACUAACGACAAUAAAAGUAGUAUAGAAAAACACAAAAGGAAACAUUGAAAAAACAAAAACAAUAGAUUACUCCAGCCUGAUUUGAACACCUAUCAGAUCAUCUUCAUUUCUAGAACUCCUUUUUUCUCCAUAGACGGAUCAGUUCCCCGAGCACAGACCCUUUACCCAUAUGAUCUCCAUUUCUGCACUCCUACGCCGGUUUAAGAACAUCGAAGCUUUUGUUCAAUCCAAUUCACGUUCCCGAUGAGUCCCUAGACCCCGUGAUAUCCCAGCGAAAUUUGACAACGCACCCACCAAGUACACUUCUACUCCUCUUCUCAAACUUUCAAAUGCGAUAGUAUGGGUCAAACGAUUAGCUGAUCUAGGUAGAUAUUUAAAAUAGAUUUCUUUGAAACCACUCUUUUUUUUUAAUAUCUUUGAUUAUAUUAUUGAUCUCGGAUAUGUCAGUAUCAUCUGAUAUAAUUUUUUUUAUAAUUGUUAACGUAUCUCCUUCUAUCUCAACUAUAUUGACUCUCAUACUCUUGCCCAAUGUUACCGCUUGAGAGCACGCAAGUGUUUCCAUCGCGAACAAGGAUCUAACCCCCAUGCAGUGUUGAUUUUGAGAUAAUAACAUCCCUUCUGUCAUCUCUGACCACUACACUCGAUCCUGAUCUAUACUAUUUGGGAUUAAAAGCAGUAUCAAAAUUUAUUCGUAUAAAAGGAUCUAUAGAGGGAAUCCACUCCAAAACGACACAUUUCCAAGUAAGUACAUGACUACCUAACCCAUCCAUCUCCAUAAUCUAUUUACCUACAACCUCUACUGCCCAUCGUCCGAAAUUUUUAGACCUCUCAUGAAGGGAGUUCUUUCUCUCAUUCUAGGUUACCCACAUCGCACAACAUGUCUUCCUACGCAUGUCAUUUGAACCAUUCUAAAAAACCCAGGUAAGCCAUUCCUUAAUAUUAAACUGGGAUUGAAAUAGAAUCCAAGAAAUAUUAAGCCUAUUCCACAUUUCCUUUGAUGCAAGGUAGUCAAAAAACACAUGGUCAAUCGUCUUUAGACCCCCACCACAUCUAGGGCAAGCUAACUGAACUCUGAUUCUUCUGCUAUAAAGAUUAAUUAGAGUAGGCAAAAAAUUCCAAGAAAUUUUCCAUGUUGUAAUUUUUUUGUUUUGUAGUUAAGUUUAAAUUCCACAAUUUCCUGUAAAAGCCCUUUGUGGCAUUUUGAAGAACUAUAAAUUGGGAAUCCCAAUUACUAUCAAGGAUAAGCUUAUAAGCACUACUCACUGAGAAGGCUCCUGAAGGUUCACCUCUCCACACGACCAUAUCCUCGUAUUCUAACCUGGCCAAAGGAAUUCUCAGUAUUUUAUCAACAACACUCUCAUCAAAGAUACUCCUUAUUAGACCCACAUUCUAAUUCCUACAAGAGUGGUUAGUCAAAUCAUAUACCUUAAUUAAACUAUUUUCAUUAAUAUUCCAAUAAACUUUGUAAUUUUUAGCCCCAACCAACCAAGCAUCCUCUCGGAUUGAAAUUCGGUCUCCUCUUCCCACUCGCCAACCAAGGUCGUCUUGAAGCGAACCCUUUGUGAACCUUAUACUGAGCAAGUUAAAAAAAGGUAGUCCCCCCUAACCUUGCCUGCAAAAAAUCACAACUCUAAUAAUAUUUGGCUUUUAGAAUGCGACUCAAUAAAGAAUGCAUAUUACUAAUAAGAUGCCAACCCUGCUUGACUAACAAAGCUAUAUUAAAAGAAGAUAAACAAUGGAAGCCCAACCCUCUAUUUUCUUUAAGCGCACACAACUUUGCCCAUUGACACUAAUGAAACCCUUUCUGACAUGACUUUUCUGCCACUAAAAUCGCACUAUUAUACUUUCCAAAUCGUUGCAUAAUGACUUAGGCAACAAAACAGGGCAUCGUAUAUGUUGGAAUGGCUUGUAAAAUCGCUUUGAAAAACACCACCUUACCCCCUUACGACAAGGGCCUUGUACUCUAAUUAUCAAUUCUUUUUUUGACCUUAUUCUUCAAAGCUUGGAAAGCUAUCUGCUUCUAUCGACCCACCAUAUUUGAAAGUCCUAAGUAUCUUUCUAUCUCAUUAGAUUGACGAACCUCCAUCAAACAUGAAACUCGAAUUUGAUCCCCUUCAAAAGCGUUUAGACUGAAACACACAGUGGAUUUUUCAUAAUUAAUACACUGAUCGGAGAAGACUUCAUAUUCCUUUAAAAUUUGUUUCAUAGUAGUAGCCUUUUUAUCCGUAGCUUCACCAAAAAUAACACAAUCAUCUACAAAUAAAAUGUGUGUUAGUUAUGGACCCCUCUUACUAGCCUUAGCACCCUUAAUCAGUCAUUCAUCUAAAGUCAAUCUCAUAAGAGUAGAUAAUCCUUCACUAUAUAUCCAAAAAAGAAGCAUACUCAAAAUAUCACCUUUUUGAAGCCCUCUACCUGGCGCAACCUCUCCCUUACUUUCCUAUUUAGAACCACCAAGUAUGAGACCGAUGAGAUACACCUCAUAUUGGUUUCCACACAUCUACUAGAAAAACCCAUACGUUCCAUCAUUUGUUUCAAAAAAUCACAUUCCACUCAAUCAUAAGCUUUACUCAUAUCAAGUUUAAGUGCCACAAAAUCCUUCUUCCUGAUCCUCUUUUGAAAAAAAGUAAGUAAAAUCUCAUAGGCCAAUAAAACAUUAAUAGCAAUUAAAUGACCCGGCACAAAAGCACUCUAGGCCCCAUCAAUGCAAUCCUCCAAUACCCUCUAGAACCGAUUGGCUACCAUCUUAGCAAUCAUGUUAUAAAGAACAGUGCAUAAACUAAUAGGUCUAAUAUUUGUAACAUUUAAAAGAACUAAAAUUUUACCUUCAUUUAGUACCUCUAGACAGUAAGAGGAAAUAUCAUUCCCAACAAAAUGCCAACACCUUUUAUAGAAGAGAGCCGAAAAGCCAUCGUCCCCUGAUGCCUUCGUAGGACCCAUACUAUUCAAGCCUCCAUGACUUCUUUCUUUAUGUAUUCUGCCGUCAACAAACCAUUUGCUUCAUUAGAGAUACAUUGUCUCACCCUAGACAGAUUAUAGCUCGUAUCACCAAUCCCCUUUGACUAAAAAAGGGAUUGAAAAUAAUUCUUAGCAAUGCCUUCCAUCUCAGGCUCCCCUCUCAUUAAUUUUCUAUCCCUUAUUGCAAGCCACCAAUUCUAUUCACUUUCCUUCUUUGAGAGGCAAAAUUAUGGAAAAAAGUUGUGUACUUAUCUCUCAACCUCAUCUAAUUAACCCCUGCCCUUUGUUUCAAAAAAAAAUCAUCUUUAUCAAUCUUGAAAUUUAACUGAACUUUAAUAUCAACCAGUUCCACAAGGUUAUCAUCAUCUCUAUCCUCUUCCAUCAGAACUCUAACCUUUAUUGUUAACUCUUUUUUUUAUCCCCACUUUCUUCCGUCUAAAUUCCAUUGCCCAUUUCCUCAAGCCAACCCGAACCCUCUCCAACUUACAAGAAUAUUAUCGUCGCCCUUCUCCAUAAAUUCCUAACCUCUUAUUCAAAAGUCUCCUCUAACACCCAACAUGCCUCAAAACGAAAAUGUUUGGGUCGAAUUGCUCUAACUAAAUAAGAAGCGGACAGUGAUAAAAAAAGAGUGUUCGAGAUGGCGUACCAUUGCAUUAGGAAACAGAGCAAUCCAUCCUUCAUUUGUUACCCUCUAUCUAAUCUUUGCCUAAUAUUUUUUUCCUGAAGGUUACACCUCUCCCAAGUAAACCAUGGUCCAAAAUAUCCUACAUCCACCAACUGACAAUCUGUAACAUCCUGAUUUUCGGGUUUUUUACGAUUCUUGAUAUUUUAAGUAAGUUUCUAAAAUUUGGUAUGUGAUUGUGGAAUUCAUAAUUUGGGUAUGUAAAUGGGCUUAUGGAAGGCCCAUGAGUUGGCCAAAAUUCGGUAGAAUUUUUAAAUUUUGGACUUAGGAGUUAGGGGUUCUAGCUAGGUGCCCUUAUAUAAAGUUGUGGGUAACAUGCAUCACAAAAAGAGCUUUAGUAAAGUGGCAAGGGUGACACCACUAAGCUCCUAAAAAGGUGGCAUGUGGAGCAUAAGGGAAGACAUGGGAUUGAGCCCCUGUGUUGGCAAAUAAGAGUAUUUAUUUUAUGUGUAGGAAGGGUAAGUGUUGGAACCUAAGUGGAUUCUGUAAGAGGAGAGUUGGAUCAAGUCAAAUGCAUAGAUUAAGGAGGGAUAAGGGGAGAGAUUUUAGGAAUUUGAUAUGGAGAUAGAGUUGGGCGAAUAAGGGAGAUUGGAGAGGGGAUUUUCGGUAGAGGGGUUUUAGUUAGGGAUUUUCGGCACUUAGGUAUUGGUGUGCCAUUUUCUCCCUUGAGGUUAAUCUUCUUCUCUCUUUUUCUUUUUGCAGUCGAACCUACCAUCACUUCUUCCAUCUUUUCUUCCUUCUCUUUAUUUUAAACCAGACCAUUAUUUCCCUUCAUUCACCCAUUAUUUCUUUCCUUUAUCUCUACUUCUGCCGAAAUACCGCAAAAGCCGAAAUCAGUGAAGCUAGGGGGUACCGAUUCUUUGUGACCAGCAACCUUUUCUUUCUUUUUCAAUUGUUGGCGUUCAAUUCCUUUAUCUUUUAGGCAUCCGGAUUCAAGAGGAGAAAGACUGUGGUAAGUGCUCGAACUCUAAACAAUUCCUAGAGUAACUUUUGGCCAAAAGCCGAAACUCCUCUAGUUUAGAGAGGUGGCCGAAUAUGGGUAUAGGCCUUAUGGGGUCUUCUUUUAAUAUUUUUGUGGUUUAUUUAGUGGAGGAGCAGCAAGGUGUAGUGUCGACUUGGGGUAGCUUGGAUCUCCGGAGUGGCUAGACCUAGUCAUCAAUCGCGACAAAGGUAAGAUUCCUAAGGCCAUUAUGGAUGGUGGCCGAAUGUGUAAGUAUUAGUAUUAGAUGAUUUUUGGUUCGGUUCAAUUAUGGGAAGCUGAUUAUUAAUGAUGGAUUAUAGGAGAAAUCGUGUAGGAGAUCUCGUCAAGGAAUAUCGCCAAACAGGUGUGUAACGAACCCUUUUUCAUAAGCUUAAAGCGAUAAAUGUCGAAAUGCCGAAAUGCCAAAAUUCUAGCAUUUCGAGGACUCGUGAGCAAGCGAACAGUCAUUAGUUAGUUAGAUUCAUUGAGAUGAUGAUCAGGAACAUUGGAAACGGUAAGAACGUCAUUUUUGGCAUUCACGGUAAGUUGGGCCCCGAGGGGCUGCAAUAGGGCCCAAUAGGCUUUCGGGCCCAUUUGGGAAAAAUUGGUAGAAAACGGAAAUCUGUUAAUUGCAUGUUAAGAUUGUUAAUAUUGUUAUGGAUAUAGGCUAAAUGGGCCUAGAUGACAAAAACGACUAAGUAGGGCCCAUUAGGGGUUUUAGGCCCAAUAACUCGAUUUCGCUAAAAAUGGGCCAGAAUCACUGUUUUCACCCAUGACUUGUUAGUAACCGUUAAUGAACAUGGAAACCCUAAUUUUUGGUAAAAUUACAAGAUUACCCUUAUAACAUGAAAAUGAUCGUUUUGCCCCUAGGUAAAAAUGACCAUUAUACCCCUAGGGUUUAUGUAUGAAUUCAAUACAUGGGAUUUUGAUAAACAUGGUAUGUAUGAUAUGCACAUGAUAUGUGUGAUAUGCACAUGAUGUAAUCAUAAAUACAUUGGGUUGGGUUUUUAUAUGAAUGGAGGAAGUGAAAAAGGGCUUAUGCCCCAGUUAUUAAAGGGCUUAUGCCCCAGUUAUUAAAGGGCUUAUGCCCCAGUUAUUAAAAGGGAUUUUGCCCCAGUUAUUCAAAGGGGCUAAGCCUCCAGUUAUAUGAUAAAGCAGCUAUGCUGCCAGUGGAGAGUUAUGGCGGGGUGGGUUGAGUUAAUCCCCACAUAGUGUGUUGGUUGGUACGAGUGGAGAGUAGCGGAUAGUGGGUUGAGUAGUCUCCCUAAAUGGGCUUCUAUUCUUUCAUUGACAUUAUAUGUGAUAUUGAAAUGGGCCUAUGGGCCAUACCGUUUACAGUAAAGGCUUCGGCCCAGUAAUAUGAAAUAUGAAAAGGCUUCGGCCCAGUGUUAUGAAAUAUGAAAUAUGAAAAGGGCUAUGGCCCAGUACAUGUCGAGAUUGGAUUUGGGCUUAGGCCCAACAGGCUGUUAUUGUUUUGGGCUCUGAAAGGGGCUUGUUGCACACUGAGUUUCCAAACUCACCCCCCUUUCCUUAACCUUACAGGUGAGCCUUGAUGUGGGGACUUGGGCCAGAGGGGAUUCAGAGUAGCCACGGUGAUCGCCUUUGGACUUUUAAAUAAGCGUUGGUUUUCAUUAAAUUUUCUUUAAUUAUUAUUUAUUUUUGGGUUGUAAUAAGGCCAUUUUAACUUUCCUUUUAUUUCUUUUCGGGAUUAUUUUAAUUUUAAUAACUUUAAACCUGGUUGAUAAUUAUUCAAAUGGGCUAGACUUAGGACGUGUUUUCAAAACGAUACUUGUUUUCAAAAUAGCUCGACGCCACGAUUAAUCGAUUUAUCAAAGACGUCCACUUAAACAAAUUUAAACUCGAUAUAACAAAGUGUGGCUAUAGUUGUGGGCAUGUCUAGGAUUGGAUCCAAUCAAAGAGCUUGGUACUUAAGCAGCCUUCAUGGCUCACCUCCUCUGUCUCGGAUACUUACCUGGUGCCCAGCUUCCAUACACUUUGUCAACUCAACAAAAUAUAUGGUUUUUAAAACACUAAGACGGAUCGUGGGUUUUCAACUCCAACGUGGCACGUCAGAUUCGGCCAUAACAUUUGGGCCGAGUUUAGGGUGUUACAUUUAGUGGUAUCAGAGCCUAGGUUGCAACAACUCGGCUGUGGAUCGGGUUCAAAAAAAAUUUUUAAAAAAAACUUAGGCCUAAGAAGGGUAUUUUUGGAAAUGGUUUUGAAAAUUCUUUUCAAUGAUGUUUUACAGAGUAUACAUGUUAAAAUGGUCCAAGUUUUUCUGUUUUAAAUCAAGAGUUCAAAAUAAAUGGUGUUUUUAAAUCAAAGUUUUCAAAUUUCUAUUUUCGGUGAUAAAAAACAUGGUUUUCAAGUUUUGGAUUGGAGAAAGAAGUGGCGCACUGAAUCCCCGGCACCAAGUCUGUAAGUAUAUUUUCUUUACGAUAUAUGAUAAUGAUAUGAUAUUAUGAAUAGUGCUGAGACUCUACUAUGAUGCUGUAGAUAGGGUAAAACUGUGAAACGGUAGAAAUGAGACUGUAGCUAGACUACGACGAUACGAAAACAAUUCUUGAACGGCUACAUUUUCAUAAGACAUUUUCUUAAUAAACAGUGGAACAUUAUACUAAUUUCAUAAAAUUCGUAAAUCAGAUAAUUCGAUAUGAGUACAAGAGGAGUUCGUGGACGAGGCUGCGGACGUGGUCGCGGAAGGGCGCAAGCUAAAUCUUCAUCCUCAGGGCAUAGGCCAGCUGAAGAGUCAUCUGUGCCACAAGCAACGGAGACUGGGUCUUAUGAUCGGGCUGCGGGGGAUGAUGCUUUGUCCCAAGCCAUGUUAAGGGUUUUAGAAAGAGUUGUUGGAGCUAGUACUGGGACAAUGAAUAGGGGGUCUAUAUCGGAGCGACUCCGGGCCAACGGAGCAGAAGUAUUUAGGGGUGUAUCUGGAGUAGCCCCAAAUGUGGUAGAAUAUUGGCUAGAGGCAACAGAACGGAUCAUAGACGAUCUAGACUGCUCAGUGGAGCAAAAACUGAAAGGAGCUGUGUCGCUGCUACGUGACGAGGUAUACCGAUGGUGGAUCACCGUAAGGGAGAGUACCCCGAUUGAGCAAGUAACCUGGGAAUUGUUCAAAACUACCUUUAAAGGGAGGUAUGUUGGAGCAAGCUAUGUGGAUGCUCGUCAGAAGGAAUUCUUGAAUCUGACUCAGGGUGAUAAGACUGUAGCAGAGUAUGAGGCAGAAUUUUUGAGGCUGAGUCGAUAUCCUAGUGGGAUAGUAGAAACUGAAUAUGAGCGCAGUGUCCGAUUUGAGGAUGGUCUCCGUGAUGAGCUUAGAAUAUUGAUAGCUCCACAGAGGGAGCGUGGUUUUGCUGUAUUGGUAGAGAAGGCUAAGAUAGCCGAGGAGGUGAAGCUGACUGAGCGACAGAAUCGUGAGAAGGAUCGACCCAGAUUUAAGAGGGAUUUUAGACCCUCAAGUACCACGAAUGGAAAUGUUAAAAGAGCAAGGAUGGAGGAACCGGUUCGAGCAGUUCCAGUAAAUACUUAUAGACUGCAGGCUUGCAGGGACUGUGGUAAGGUGCAUAUGGGGGAGUGCUGGAAACGAACUGGAGCAUGUUUUCGAUGUGGGUCUAGGGAGCAUAAGUUCAGAGAGUGUCCUCAGAGGACAGCUCAGGAGCUAGCUGCAGAGCAAAGGGAUGUCCAACCACGGUGAGGAGGACCACCACCACAGAGGGGUCGUGGGUAAGGUAGAGGUGGCAAUGGUAAUGGACGAGGACGUGGGGCACCUGGCAGAGGUGCUGGACAUGCUGAAGCCCGACAGCCGGCGUUGGUUUAUGCUGCACGACGUCGUGAGGAGGGUGACGCUCCUGAUGUUAUAACUGGUACGUUUUUCAUUCAUAGCAUGCCUUACACUACUUUGAUUGAUAUGGGUUCCACUCACUCGUAUAUAGCUUGUGAUGUAUCUGAGGCUUUGGAUGUGCUUCCUGAGGAGACUGUGAGUGGGGUAUCGGUGAUAAGUCCAUUGGGACAUUCGGUUAAGGUAGAUAAACUUUUUAGGGCAGUACCGUUAGUGACACAAGAUAAAAUCUUUGAAGGAGAUUUGAUGGAGCUGCCAUUUGGGGAUUUUAAUCUUAUCUUGGGAAUGGACUGGUUAGCUAAGCACAAGGUGACGUCGGAUUGUGCUGCAAAGAGGAUGGUACUACGAACUGCUGAAGAUAAGGAGAUAAUGGUCAUAGGGGAACGAAGGGAUUAUUUGUCCAAUGUUGUUUCGGCUUUAAGAGCCGAGAAGUUGAUUCGGAAAGGUUGUGAGGCGUACUUGGCCCUUGUAAGUCAAACUGGACUUGAAGAGAUAACGGUAGAGUCGAUUAGAACUAUUAAGGAAUUUCAGGAUGUAUUCCCAGAUGAACUUCUUGGAUUACCCCCAAGCAGAGAAGUCGAGUUUGGAAUCGACUUAUUACUUGGAACAGCUCAUGUGUCCAUUGCACCUUAUAGGAUGGCACUAAAGGAAUUGGUGGAAUUGAAAGCUCAGAUAUAGGAACUGUUGGAUAGAGGGUUUAUAAGACCAAGUGUUUUCCCGUGGGGCGCACCGGUACUGUUCGUAAAGAAAAAAGAUAGGACUAUGCGAAUAUGUAUUGACUAUCGGCAGUUGAAUAAACUGACGAUCAAGAAUAAGUAUCCGUUACCAAGAAUCGAUGAUCUGUUCGACCAAUUAAAAUGAGCCUCAGUAUUUUCUAAGAUCGACCUUCGGUCAGGAUAUCAUCAAUUAAGAGUUAAAGAGGUGGAUAUCUAUAAGACGGUGUUCAGGACUCAAUACGGUCAUUACGAGUUUCUGGUAAUGCCUUUUGGACUGACUAAUGCACCGACAGCAUUCAUGGAUUUGAUGAAUCGGGUGUUCCAACCAUACUUGGAUCAGUUCGUAGUUGUUUUUAUUGACGAUAUCUUAGUGUAUUAGGAAAUGGAAGAGAAGCAUGAUGAGCAUCUUCGUGUAGUGCUGCAAGUGUUAAGGGAGAAGCAACUUUAUGCAAAGUUUAGUAAGUGCGAGUUUUGGCUGAAAGAAGUUAUCUUCUUGGGGCAUGUUGUGUCUGCCGAGGGGAUCAAGGUGGACCCUCGAAAGAUUGAAGCAAUUUUGGAAUGGAAGCCACCGAGGUCGGUAACAGAGAUCCGAAGUUUUCUGGGGUUGGCAGGUUAUUAUCAGAGAUUCGUGGAAGGAUUUUCUGUGUUGGCAGCACCGUUAACGAAACUUAUAAGGAAGGGAGCACCUUUUUUUUGGACAAAUAAGUAGCAAGAGGCUUUUGAGAAGUUGAAGAAGGUUUUAACGGAAGCGCCAGUGUUGAUUCAGCCAGAAUCUGGUAAGGAUUUCACUGUGUACAGCGAUGCGUCACAUGUAGGUUUGGGCUGCGUAUUGAUGCAGGAGGGUAAAGUGGUCGCUUAUGCUUCACGACAGCUUAAGCCGCACGAGGUGAACUACCCUACGUAUACUUGGAAUUGGCAGCAGUAAUCUUUGCACUUAAGAUAUGGAGGCAUUACUUGUAUGGGGAGAAAUGCAUCAUCUAUAUGGAUCACAAGAGUCUUAAGUACUUGCUGACUUAAAAGGAGCUGAAUCUUAGGCAGCGAAGGUGGAUAGAGUUGUUAAAGAACUAUGACUAUUCGAUUGAGUACCAUCUAGGUAAGGCGAAUGUCGUGGCUGAUGCGCUAAGUCGAAGGGCUGUGGCAAAAUUAAAGGCGAUGUUUGCUCGUCUAAGUUUGUAUGACGACGAAAGUUUAUUGGCAGAGUUGCAAGUAAGGCCGACUUGGGUAGAACAGAUUAAGAAGCAACAGUUGGAGGACGAGUCGUUGGUUUCUCGGUUUCAGCAAGUUGAGAAGGGGGAGAAUCCAGACUUUGGGUUAAAUAGUGAGGGAGUUCUUUGUUUUCGAGGAAGAAUUUGUAUGCCGAAAGACUCAGAUUUGAGAUUGAUGAUUUUGAAAGAGGCACAUAAUAGACCUUGUGCUAUGCAUCCAGGAGGGAGUAAUUUGUAUCGAGACUUGCGAGAGCAAUAUUGGUGGCCUGGGCUUAAGCGAGAAGUGACCGAAUUUGUAGGGAGAUGUUUGACAUGUCAACAAGUGAAGGCUGAGCAUCAACUACCUUCGGGAUUGUUACAGCCGGUAAAGAUACCACUUUGGAAGUAGGAAAGGGUAACUAUGGACUUUGUAAGUGGGUUGCCGUUGACACCUUCUAAGAAGGAUUCGGUUUGGGUGGUUGUGGAUAGACUCACGAAAUCUGCUCAUUUCAUACCUGUCCGAACCGAUUACUCACUUCAGAAGUUGGCCAAAUUGUAUGUGGCGGAAAUAGUACGGUUGCAUGGUAUGCCAGCAUCGAUAAUUUUAGACCGAGACCCAAGGUUUACAUCUCAGUUUUGGCAGAAGUUGCAUGAGGCAUUGGGAACACGAUUGGAUUUCAGUACGGCCUUUCACCCUCAGUCGGAUGGCAGUCAGAGAGGGUUAUUCAGAUCUUAGAGGAUAUGUUGAGGGGUUGUGCUAUUGAGUUUAGAGGCAGCUGGGAGGACCAUUUGCCAUUGGCGGAGUUCGCGUAUAACAACAGUUACCAAGCAAGUAUUCAGAUGGCUCCAUAUGAGGCACUAUAUGGGUGAAGGUGUCGCUCGCCUACUUGUUGGGCAGAAUUAGGGGAAAGGCGAAUACUUGGACCAGAGUUGGUAGCAGAUACUGAAGACAAGAUUAAGGUGAUCAGGAAUUGGUUAAAAGAGGCGGCGGAUCGACAAAAGUCUUAUGCCGAUCUGAAGCGUAAGGAUAUUGAAUAUGCAGUAGGGGACAUGGUCUUUUUGAAAGUUUCGCCUUAGAAGAAGAUUUUGAGAUUUGGUAAGAAGGGUAAGUUGAGCCCACGAUUUAUUGGGCCUUACCGAAUCAUUAAGCGGAUAGGGCCGGUGGCAUAUCAGCUAAAGUUACCUCCAGAGUUGGAUCGUAUUCACGACAUUUUCCAUGUGUCCAUGCUAAGGCGAUAUCGUUCUGACCCAACUCAUAUUGUGCCAGUUGAAGAAAUCGAGGUACGGUCGGAUUUGACCUUUGAAGAGGAACCUGUGCAAAUACUUGAUCGCGAUGUCAAGGUGUUGAGAAGGAGGUCAGUCCCAUUAGUGAAGGUACCUUGGAGGAACCAUGGCAAGGAAGAAGCUACUUGGGAGACCGAAGAGGCAAUGCGUCAGUAGUACCCUCAACUGUUUGGAUCAGGUAAAUUUCGAGGCUGAAAUUUCUUUAAGGAGGGUAGAGUUGUAACAUCCUGAUUUUCGGGUUUUUUACGAUUCUUGAUAUUUUAAGUAAGUUUCUAAAAUUUGGUAUGUGAUUACGGAAUUCAUAAUUUGGGUAUGUAAAUAGGCUUAUGGAAGGCCCAUGAGUUGGCCAAAACCCGAUAGAAUUUUUAAAUUUUGGACUUAGGAGUUAGGGGUUCUGGCUAGGUGCCCUUAUAUAAAGUUGUGGGUAACAUGCAUCAUAAAAAGAGCUUUAGUAAAGUGGUAAGGGUGACGCCAGUAAGCUCCUAAAAAGGUGGCGUGUGGAGCAUAAGGGAAGACAUGGGAUCAAGCCCCUGUGUUGGCAAAUAAUAGUAUUUAUUUUUAUGUGCAGGAAAGGUAAGUGUUGAAACCUAAGUGGAUUCUGUAAGAGGAGAGUUGGAUCAAGUCAAAUGCAUAGAUUAAGGAGGGAUAAGGGGAGAGAUUUUAGGGAUUUGAUAUGGAGAUAGAGUUGGCCGAAUAAGGGAGAUUGCAGAGGGGAUUUUCGGCAGAGGGGUUUUAGUUAGGGAUUUUCGACACUUAGGUAUUGGUGUGCCGUUUUCUCCCUUGAGGUUAGUCUUCUUCUCUCUUUUUCUUUUUGCAGCCGAACCUACCAUCUCUUCUUCCAUCUUUUCUUCCUUCUCUUUCUUUCAAACCAGCCCAUUAUUUCCCUUCAUUCACCCAUUAUUUCUUUCCUUUAUCUCUACUUCUGCCAAAAUACCUCAAAAGCCGAAAUCAAUGAAGCUAGGGGGUGCCGAUUCUUUGUGACCAGCAACCUUUUCUUUCCUUUUCAAUUGUUGGCGUUCAAUUCCUUUAUCUUUUAGGCAUCCGGAUUCAAGAGGAGAAAGACUGUGGUAAGUGCUCGAACUCUAAACAAUUCCUAGAGUAACUUUUGGCCAAAAGCCGAAACCCCUCUAGUUUAGGGAGGUGGCCGAAUAUGGGUAUAGGCCUUAUGGGGACUUCUUUAAAUAUUUUUUGUGGUUUAUUUAGUGGAGGAGCAGCAAGGUGUAGUGCCGACUUGGGGCAGCUUGGAUCUCCGGAGUGGCUAGACCUAGUCAUCAAUCGCGACAAAGGUAAGAUUCCUAAGGCCAUUAUGGAUGGUGGCCGAAUGUGUAAGUAUUAGUAUUAGAUGAUUUUUGGUUCGGUUCAAUUAUGGGAAGCUGAUUAUUAACGAUGGAUUAUAGGAGAAAUCGUGUAGGAGAUCUCGUCGAGGAAUAUCGCCAAACAGGUGUGUAACGAACCCUUUUUCAUAAGCUUAAAGCGAUAAAUGCCGAAAAGCCGAAAUGCUGAAAUUCUGGCAUUUCGAGGACUCGUGAACAAGUGAACGCUCAUUAGUUAGUUAGAUUCAUUGAGAUGAUGAUUAGGAACAUUGGAAAUGGUAAGAACGUCAUUUUUGGCAUUCACGUUGGAAACGGUAAGAACGUCAUUUUUGGCAUUCACGGUAAGUUAGGCCUCGAGGGGCUGCAAUAGGGCCCAAUAGGCUUUCGGGCCCAUUUUGGGAAAAAUUAGAAGAAAACAGAAAUCUGUUAAAUUGCAUGUUAAGACUGUUAAUACUGUUAUGGAUAUAGGCUAAAUGGGCCUAGAUGACAAAAACGAUUAAGUAGGGCCCAUUAGGGGUUUUAGGCCCAAUAACUCGAUUUCGCUAAAAAUGGGCCAGAAUCACUGUUUGCACCCAUGAAUUAUUAGUAAUCGUUAAUGAACAUGGAAACCCUAAUUUUUGGUAAAAUUACAAGAUUACCCUUAUAACAUGAAAAUGGCCGUUUUGCCCCUAGGUAAAAAUGACCAUUAUACCCCUAAGGUUUAUGUAUGAAUUUAAUACAUGGGAUUUUGAUAAACAUGGUAUGUAUGAUAUGCACAUGACAUGUAUGAUAUGCACAUGAUGUAAUCAUAAAUGCAUUGGGUUGGGUUUUUAUAUGAAUGGAGGAAGUGAAAAAGGGCUUAUGCCCCAGUUAUUAAAGGGCUUAUGCCCCAUUUAUUAAAGGGCUUAUGCCCCACUUAUUAAAAGGGCUUUUGCCCCAGUUAUUCAAAGAGGCUAGGCCUCCAGUUAUAUGAUAAAGCAGCUAUGCUGCCAGUGGAGAGUUAUGGCGAGGUGGGUUGAGUUAAUCCCCACAUGGUGUGUUGGCUGGUACGGGUGGAGAGUAGCGGAUGGUGGGUUGAGUAGUCUCCCCAAAUGGGCUUGCAUUCUUUCAUUGACAUUAUAUGUGAUAUUGAAAUGGGCCUAUGGGCCAUACCGUUUACAGUAAAGGCUUCGGCCCAGUAAUAUGAAAUAUGAAAAGGCUUCGGCCCAGUGUUAUGAAAUAUGAAAUAUGAAAAGGGCUAUGGCCCAGUAAAUGUCGAGAUUGGAUUUGGGCUUAGGCCCAACAGGCUGUUAUUGUUUUGGGCUCUGAAAGGGGCUUGUUGCACACUGAGUUUCCAAACUCACCCCCCUUUCCUUAACCUUGCAGGUGAGCCUUGAUGUGGGGACUUGGGCCGGAGGG
rnacentral:lncRNA from 1 species